rnacentral:hammerhead_ribozyme from 1 species
CUCCAGUUGACGAGUUCCAAAUAGGACGAAAUGUGCAUCCUGGAU